UCGAAACACCUGUUCUCGUAAGAUCACUGAAGUUAAGCAACGUUGAGAAUGGUAAAUACGUAGAUGAGUAACCGUUUAGGAAUACCUGGUGAUGCAAGC